rnacentral:tRNA from 1 species
GGGCCUGUAGCUCAGUUGGUUAGAGCGCACCCCUGAUAAGGGUGAGGUCGGUGGUUCAAGUCCACCCAGGCCCA